GGGCGUUUGGUUUAGUGGUAUAAUGCCUCAUUCGCACCGCACUACCACCCAAAAAUGGCUGGUUUUUGCUAGAAUUGAGGAGGUCGCGCGUUCGAUUCGCGCAUCGUCCA